rnacentral:rRNA from 1 species
CAGCCCCUCGAGUGGUGGGGAUGGUUAUUUGGCCUAAAGCGUCCGUAGCCGGCCGGGCAAGUCUUCCGUUAAAUCCAGCGUCUCAAGCGUUGGACCGCGGGAGAUACUGUCUGGCUAGAGAGUGGGAGAGGUGUACGGUAUUCUGGGGGUAGGGGCGAAAUCCUUUGAUCCCCGGAGGACCACCAGUGGCGAAGGCUGUGCACUAGAACACGUCUGACGGUCAGGGACGAAAGCUGGGGUAGCGAACCGGAUUAGAUACCCGAGUAGUCC